rnacentral:rRNA from 1 species
GGCGAACGGGUGAGUAACACGUGAGUAACCUGCCCUUGACUCUGGGAUAAGCCUGGGAAACCGGGUCUAAUACUGGAUACGACCUUCUGGCGCAUGCCAUGUUGGUGGAAAGCUUUUGUGGUUUUGGAUGGACUCGCGGCCUAUCAGCUUGUUGGUGGGGUAAUGGCCUACCAAGGCGACGACGGGUAGCCGGCCUGAGAGGGUGACCGGCCACACUGGGACUGAGACACGGCCCAGACUCCUACGGGAGGCAGCAGUGGGGAAUAUUGCACAAUGGGCGCAAGCCUGAUGCAGCGACGCCGCGUGAGGGAUGAAGGCCUUCGGGUUGUAAACCUCUUUCAGUAGGGAAGAAGCCGCUCCUUUUUGGGGGUGGUGACGGUACCUGCAGAAGAAGCGCCGGCUAACUACGUGCCAGCAGCCGCGGUAAUACGUAGGGCGCAAGCGUUAUCCGGAAUUAUUGGGCGUAAAGAGCUCGUAGGCGGUUUGUCGCGUCUGCCGUGAAAGUCCGGGGCUUAACUCCGGAUCUGCGGUGGGUACGGGCAGACUAGAGUGCAGUAGGGGAGACUGGAAUUCCUGGUGUAGCGGUGAAAUGCGCAGAUAUCAGGAGGAACACCGAUGGCGAAGGCAGGUCUCUGGGCUGUAACUGACGCUGAGGAGCGAAAGCAUGGGGAGCGAACAGGAUUAGAUACCCUGGUAGUCCAUGCCGUAACGUUGGGCACUAGGUG